GCUCCUGUGGCUUAGUGGUUAGAGCGCCGGCCUCGGAUGCGGGAGGUUGUGGAAUUUUUGAUCUCCGGUCGAGUCAUACCAAAGACU